AUAAAUAAUGAAUAAUAAAUAAUAAAUAAAUAAUAAAUAAUAAAAAUAAAAUAAAAAGUAAUACAGACAUCAGUCAUUACAUUUAGGACCGUUUUCACCUGAAAUAUCUUACAGCUGGAGAUCAGGAUACCAGUUCUUUACCCUACUCAUAGUGUGCAUAUUAGAUCUAUCGGAGAGUCUACCAGGAAUUCAGCUACUAAACAUUUGAGAAGAGUAAUAUAGCAUUUGAAGACCUUUUCAAGAAUAGCCAUUUCACAGGGAAGGUCUGGAACACUUUGUUCGGGAAAAUUGUACUCACUGAAAACUUCCAAGGGUUCAAAGGGCGACUGGACAAGUACAUAGGAAAAAAAAUAUCUAAAAAGAACUAUUAAAUACAAAGCAACUAAGCCUGGUUCAGGGAAUCCUUGCAGGCUGGGGGGUUUCAGAAGUGUUGCUGUGUAUGUUCUCUGUUCUUAUUCUUUCCCUCAAGGUGCCUGUUGUUCCAGUUUAGAACUGUCACCCUUCACUCCCAUCCCUACAAAACCUACAAUGAUACUUUACAAAGGAAGUUUAAAGAAGAGAUUGAGGAGAAAUAACCAACUACAGAGAUCCCACAGGAUGACAUUGGCGUAACUGAUUCACUGCUGACACCAAACAAUUGGAGUCAUCCCACACCAGUGAGAUGGGAGCUGCCCAGGAGCUCUGGGAAACAUGGGAAUUGACAUGUUUCUGUGGAAAUAAAACUCCUGGCAGGAUUUUGUGGUCCUUGCA
rnacentral:lncRNA from 1 species